rnacentral:rRNA from 1 species
GCGCACCAGUCGCGAAACUUUACAAUGUGCGAAAGCACGAUAAGGGAACUCUGAGUGCCUCCUAAGGAGGCUGUUCUGAUGUCUAAAAGCAACAGAAGUAAGGGCUGGGUAAGACCGGUGCCAGCCGCCGCGGUAACACCGGCAGCCCAAGUGGUAGCCACGUUUAUUGGGUCUAAAGCGUUCGUAGCCGGCCAGGUAAGUUCCUUGGUAAAUUUAGCCGCUUAACGGUUAAGCUUUCAGGGAAUACUGCUUGGCUUGGGACUGGGAGAGGUCAGAGGUACUCCGGGGGUAGGGUGAAAUCUAUUAAUCCCUGGGGGACCACCGGUAGCGAAGGCGUCUGACCAGACCAGGUCCGACGGUGAGGGACGAAGGCUAGGGGCGCGAACCGGAUUAGAUACCCCUGUAGUCCCUA